rnacentral:rRNA from 1 species
AUUAAACGCUGGCGGCAUGCCUUACACAUGCAAGUCGAACGGCAGCACGGGUGCUUGCACCUGGUGGCGAGUGGCGAACGGGUGAGUAAUACAUCGGAACGUACCUUAUCGUGGGGGAUAACGCAGCGAAAGUUGCGCUAAUACCGCAUACGCCCUGAGGGGGAAAGCGGGGGACCGUAAGGCCUCGCGCGAUUAGAGCGGCCGAUGUCUGACUAGCUUGUUGGUGAGGUAAAAGCUCACCAAGGCGAUGAUCAGUAGCUGGUCUGAGAGGACAAUCAGCCAGACUGGGACUGAGACACGGCCCAGACUCCUACGGGAGGCAGCAGUGGGGAAUUUUGGACAAUGGGGGCAACCCUGAUCCAGCAAUGCCGCGUGAGUGAAGAAGGCCUUCGGGUUGUAAAGCUCUUUUGUCAGGGAAGAAACAGCAGCUCUAACGCAGUCUGCGAAUGACGGUACCUGAAGAAUAAGCACCGGCUAACUACGUGCCAGCAGCCGCAGUAA